UGUGUGCAGUUCGUUUGAUAGUCAUCUUUAUGGUCAAUUUGCAGGUUUUAUUUUUUCUUCUUUCUCUCCCGUUCGUAGAUUCAUAUCCGUAGAGUGUUGUGCACAUUAGAGUGUGUGCAGUGCAGUCCCAUAAAAGUUCACUCUCUAUCCGGGCCCUGAAACUCAGGCGAGGUCAUAAAAAAAACAAAACCCGUCCCAUGGUGUCCGUCGCCCGCGAGCAGCCGAAAGGAAAACGCCACACACACUACCUCUCUCUCUCUCUUUCCUUGGGACAACCUGUCGAUUAAUGAAGUGGAAAUGGGAACUUUUACUUUUUUUUUUAUUCCUGGUAGUUCGGCCGUGUGCGCAACAAAUGGUCGUUUUGCUCUGCAUCCUGCUGCUGGUGGCGCCGUUGCUUUUGGUGUAAGAUGUGUCUCUACGGUUAGAAACGGCAGUGGUUGGCCACAGAAGAAAAAAAAAACUGGCUAUUCAUUCCACAUGAAUCCAUCAUCACAUCAAUGCUCUCAGCUUAGCUUUUCCAAAAAACUCGCUCCACAAUCGCGAAAAAUCCCAUUUCAAGUACAAAUGCUUCCCUCCUGCCCGACAGCCCUUGGAGGAUUUGGUACCUCAAAACUCGGUAAAUACUGUUCAAACAUUUCCAUCAAUCAUUCCAAAAACGAUUUUUCAUCUUCAAAAUGUCCAUUCAAAUACU